UACGUAGGGUGCAAGCGUUAAUCGGAAUUACUGGGCGUAAAGCGUGCGCAGGCGGUUUUGUAAGUCUGUCGUGAAAUCCCCGGGCUUAACCUGGGAAUUGCGAUGGAGACUGCAAGGCUAGAAUCUGGCAGAGGGGGGUAGAAUUCCACGUGUAGCAGUGAAAUGCGUAGAGAUGUGGAGGAACACCGAUGGCGAAGGCAGCCCCCUGGGUCAAGAUUGACGCUCAUGCACGAAAGCGUGGGGAGCGAACAGG
rnacentral:rRNA from 1 species